GUGGUGUCGCACGAGCGCACCCUUAUCCUUAGUUGCCAGCACGUAAUGGUGGGAACUCUAAGGAGACUGCCGGUGACAAACCGGAGGAAGGUGGGGACGACGUCAAGUCAUCAUGGCCCUUACGAGAUGGGCUACACACGUGCUACAAUGGCAAGUACAAAGGGUUGCAAACUCGCGAGAGUAAGCGGAUCCCAUAAAGCUUGUCGUAGUCCGGAUUGGAGUCUGCAACUCGACUCCAUGAAGUCGGAAUCGCUAGUAAUCGUGGAUCAGAAUGCCACGGUGAAUACGUUCCCGGGCCUUGUACACACCGCCCGUCACACCAUGGGAGUGGGCUGCAAAAGAAGUGGAUAGCUUAACCUUCGGGAGGGCGUUCACCACUUUGUGGUUCAUGACUGGGGUGAAGUCGUAACAAGGUAGCCGUAGGGGAACCUGCGGCUGGAUCACCUCCUU
rnacentral:rRNA from 1 species